AGGGGUGGAGCUCAGUAGUAGAGCACUCACCUUGCAUGUAUGAGACCCUGGGUUCGAUCCUCAGCACCACAU
rfam:Ictidomys tridecemlineatus contig073387, whole genome shotgun sequence.